rnacentral:rRNA from 1 species
UACGUAGGUGGCAAGCGUUGUCCGGAAUCAUUGGGCGUAAAGCGCGCGCAGGCGGUCCUUUAAGUCUGAUGUGAAAUCUUGCGGCUCAACCGUAAGCGGUCAUUGGAAACUGGGGGACUUGAGUGCAGGAGAGGAAAGCGGAAUUCCAUGUGUAGCGGUGAAAUGCGUAGAGAUAUGGAGGAACACCAGUGGCGAAGGCGGCUUUCUGGCCUGUAACUGACGCUGAGGCGCGAAAGCGUGGGGAGCAAACAGGAUUAGA